rnacentral:tRNA from 1 species
UCCCUGGUGGUCUAGAGGUUAGGAUUCAGUACUUACACUGCUUGGCCUGGGUUCAAUCCCUGGUCUGGGAA